rnacentral:rRNA from 1 species
AGUGAACGCUGGCGGUAGGCCUAACACAUGCAAGUCGAACGGCAGCACAGUAAGAGCUUGCUCUUACGGGUGGCGAGUGGCGGACGGGUGAGGAAUACAUCGGAAUCUACUUUUUCGUGGGGGAUAACGUAGGGAAACUUACGCUAAUACCGCAUACGACCUACGGGUGAAAGCAGGGGAUCUUCGGACCUUGCGCGAUUGAAUGAGCCGAUGUCGGAUUAGCUAGUUGGCGGGGUAAAGGCCCACCAAGCCGACGAUCCGUAGCUGGUCUGAGAGGAUGAUCCGCCACACUGCAAAUGAGACACGAUGCAGACUCCUAAGGGAGGCAGCAGUCGGGAAUAUUCGAGCAGGGGCGCAAGCCAAAUCCAGACAUACCGCGUAAGUGUAGAACGGCUUUGGCUUGUAAAGCACUUUUGUUGGGAAAGAUAAACAGCAGGGUUAUAAUUCGAUGUUCUGACGUAACCCAAAGAAUAAGCCCCGGCUAACUUCGUG